UAAGUGCUGUAAUUCAUAGUAAAUUCAAGAAUGAAGGUCAACUAGAGGCUAUAAUUUAGGCUAGCAUUUUGUGUCAAAAGUUGAAAUAUUAUUAUUUAGGCCUAGUCCAUAUGAAAAAUUGGAAAAUGAAUGCUAUCCAUUUGUUAAACAAGCAAUAUGGCAUGAUGUGGAGAUACAUGAAUUGACAAGAAGUAGGCUGCUUGAAUUAACACGGAACGAACUACUAAAUAACUAUUAUGUCUUUAACUCUACGCAAAGCACAACAUACUCAAUUUGUAGCUUUCUCUAUUCUUUAUUUUAUCUAUUUUCAUAUAUGAAAAAUUUAGCCUCAGACUUCUUAAAAAAUU
rnacentral:lncRNA from 1 species